AAAUUCGCAAUAAACAGAAAAUUUUACUGAGGACCAACAACGCUGCUUCUCCACGUCGUAAUACAGCGGUGAACGAUAUUUCGGGAAAAUGUGUUGCUAAAUCUCCGUCAAACACUACGCUCGCCUUUGGUGACAGCGGAACGCAGUCGCAAGAAAUUGUGGAGGAAAUACCGGAGUUCUGGCAGCUUCAGGUGCACUUGAUUAUUCAGUAACGUCGGCGGCUUUGUAGUUAUACCUUACAUCAGAGCAAACUGCACUCGACAGAGAUCAAGGGCAGCCGCGCCGUUAUAGCUAAGCAAAUUAAGAACAAUUACGCCGCGUCUUCCCACUUCGAGCACGCUCCGACAGCCCAACGAUAGAUAUUUCAAACGUAACCGCACUCGGACGAGCAAAUUUUGCUUCUGCGAAGUGAACGUAGCGGGUAUUUCAAGACGCGUGUUAAACUCACGGCUGUUUCAUUCGUGAACAUUACUUACGUGACGUAAAAUUAUCAGUGAGCAAAACAGUUUUUGUUUCAACGCAAGAAAAGAGAACCGAAACUAGUUGCACGGAUUCAAAUGAUCCAAAGCCGAAGCCGUCAAUAGCAUGACGCCAUUUUUCAGUUGUGUUGCAUCUCGUGCGAGUACGUUGUCGUCGAGUGGUGGUUCUUUAUUCUAUGGAGUGGUUCUGAAAGCGCUGCGUUAGGGGCGACUGCAACCAGGCGUUGCGGCAAGUUACGGUGGGAACUUCUGUCCGUGCUGUGUGAUUGCGACGAGGACGACUGCCGCCAGCAGCGGCGUGUCGCCGAUUUCGUCUUUGCCGACAUCCAGCAAGUGCAGCUCGCCGGACCGUAACAUGCCCCGGAAGUGUUGCGUUUUGCACUGCAUUUUCCUUGUGAUAUGGGAGAUCGCAACGCAGAGACGACCAGAUGCAUACGAAAGACUACCAGCGGAGAGUGACCUGUGCCAUAUUUCUCUUAACCUCUCAGGUAUUCAAGAAAUGGCAACAUCCAGAAGAAGACGCCAUCUUAUCCAGCACGUUAUGGGUACACUCUGGUGGCUCCCGCCCCUGCAUCCUACCACCACCGUGUCCUCACUAUGUUCACUAGGGAGUUCGAAGCCUUUGGCGGCUCCUGCCACUGCGUCCUGCGACCACCGUGUCCUGACUACGUCCACUAGGGAGUUGGCAGCCUUCGUGAUGAUGCCAAGCAGGCUGGAAGCCGACAGAAAGAUUGAGGUUGCCUCGAAAUUUUACCCAAGCCGUGCCACACACUUGGGCCAGGCCUCUUGCAAACGACGUAUAACCAGGCUGAACGCAUGAUGUCGAGUGAGUCCGGAGAUCGAGGCAACCUGCUGUGCAACCAGCAUGCAACCUUUGGUGACCCUCUACAUGUUCCACCUAUUUCACAGCUGCACUCAGCUUCCACCUAUCCAAACCGCAUCACCAGCUGUGGUCACUCAUCGAACCAUGGAUGAAUGUUGGGGUGGAGUGAUCUGAAGCGACAUUCUUUUCGUCUCUUCAAAUCCUUAGCAAAUACUUGUGUUAAUAUAAUUAAUAUGUGUCUUUAGUGCCUAGUUUUUAAUGGUUCCUUUCAAUUAGAAUUCUCGCCAUCGAUUCCUGCUAUUAUAAUACAUGUCUGUCUUUAUGCUCAGUUUUUCAUAGUUCUUUUGUACUUGUCUAUGUAAUUGAUAGGUUCAUACUUCUUGUUAUACAGAAGGCUAAAAUGCAAACUUACGGCAUUUUUUUCUUCCUAUUGAUAAUCUACAGCACUGCAAAGUGUUCGAGAAAUGUAACCCAAUGUGGGCUCUGGUGCAAGAAAAAUUUAAGAGCAAUAUAGAGUACUUAUUUCAAACACCCAUUAUUUUUGGAAAAGUAAAGAAUGUAGGAGCACAAAAAAGAAAAUAUUAAACUAGAGAAACAUGAGUUCCCCUCAUAAGUCUGAUAAUAAUGUGACUUCCCUUCACUGCAAAGAUACCAGUAAUAUACUCGCAUACAAGGUUUGAAACAAGAAAGCUAUGAUGCCCUUGGCAUUUCUCAGUGCCUAUUUGUCACACUGACGAAUGUCAAAGGCAUCGUAGGUGUCAUGUACACAUUGGUUUUGUUACACUUUUGAGUAUUGCAUUUCUCAAACACAAAGGUUUACAGCAGUGCUUUAAAUAGGAAAUGCAUUUCCUAAUUUAUUAGUGCAAGAGGAACAGUACAGAUCAUGUAAAAAUUAUUUUACAGACUAUAUGUCCAUGGAUGCACGCUUCUGAUGACAUAGCAGUGACGUGGUCGUAGGAUGAAUGACUUUAUUUCAGAUUUAAAUAUUGGCUUUCAGGUCUGGGUUAGUCUCCUACACUGAAUAGUCUAGGUCAGAGCCCAUUUACUAGAGAAAGUGAAUUAAACUAGGAAUUAUAAACAUCAAAAGAUCUUGUUUAGGAAAUUAAUGUGACAAUCAGCAAGGUUCUGUGGGCAUUCAUUUCCAAAUUUGUAGGAUAUAUUUUAUGACUGGUUUCAUUAUUGUGAGAACAAAUAUUUUUUUAUUGUCACACUAGAGUUGGCUGCCCCCAUUUGUAUACAACCCCUUUACAGGCUAAAAAUUCAGUGUGUUACCCUAUUUACUCGCAUAAUGAUCGCACUUUAUUGUAAAAAAAAAUUGACUCAAAUUCAGGGGUGCAAUCAUUAUGCUGGCUAAAUUUCCCACAAAAAGAAAAAAAUAUAUCCCCUGACAUUUUCAACGGGAUGACAACAAGUCAACAAAGAGGUGGCUGCCGCUGUAUGUACUGCGGGACACACACACCAAAAAAAAAUGGUGGCCGGCAGAGCAAGCCGAACGCGCCGAACACGAUUUUUUUUUCUUUUCGUGAGUACAUUACGUGCAUUCAAACAGUUUCUUCCGUAUCAGUAAUGAAUAAUAUCGGCAAGUUUGCGGCAAUAACAUAGCCAUGUCCACUUCGAGGGGACAGAAACAGAUGGGCGCGCUUAGCUGCCUCUGACAUAGGAACACAUGGCGGCCAUGCUGCGGAAACUGCGGCAUUUGUCUUCACCACUAUCCUAAUAUGGCACGUUUCCGCUAAGGGUGGGCGAAUAUCUUAGCUGCGUUACAAACUUCGGCGAAUGAAUAGGGUACACUUCUAACGUAUCACUGUAAACGUGGCUGCUAUCAUUGCCACUCGCGAUUUGUUGCGUGCCCACAAGUGCAGACGAGAAGAAACGAAAGACGCCUUUUUUGUUGUUAUUGUUGACCACAACCAUUGCAAAGCCUACACAUAAUAAAGGCAAGUGUGGUUGUAGCUUUGUUUUUUUGUCAUAUAAGUGCGGAAAGUGAUGGAAGGAAUGAAAUGGGGCAUCUGCUUAAGAAUGUUUGGUGCGUGCAGACUGCUUGGUUUGUCUUGAAGAGUUGUUCGCAUAGCAGUUGACAGAUGGUAAGCACGAUCAUUAUUAGCUAGACUUGGCACAUGACAUAUCGCUGCGGCAAGUUUGGGGUGCAAUCUUACACGAGAAAUAAAAAAAUCGAAUUUUGACUUCAGAAUUUAGGGGUGCGAUCAUUACGCGAGUGCGAUCAUUAUGCGAGUAAAUACGGUAUUAGGCUGUUUUUGGUUUUGCGCACUCAAUGUUAAGGGAUGCAAAUGGUGACAUACAACAGAAUGCAAAAAUGACUAAUGAAUGCAAGCAGGGCGUAGGGCUUUUUAGGCAGAUGCGUGCGUGUGCUAUUUAUAGCGCUCCCCAUGGUAUGCCUGAAGGCAUUUUCUAACACUUUGGUAGAAAACACUGACACCCACUUAUUGAGGGGAAAUACUCCUCAAAACAACUUUUUUAUAUAUUUGUACUAGAGAUUUGAAUAUACUGUCAUUCAUAAAGUGCUUUAUUAGAUUUGAAUUGUCAUUGAUUUUUGUGUAGCUGCUGUUCUUUAGUUAUGGUCCUACACAGUGGCAAAAUAUUCUUGUGGGCACUUUCCUGUGUAUAAAAUUUUCAGAAAUAGCUUCAUGCUGUAUCUUAUUUAGCUAGUUAUAUACUGCAAAGUGAUGAUACCCAUCCAAACGGCUUGUACAAUUACUGGAACUAUGCAAAAAAAAUAUUAGGCCACAUUAAAUAAUUUUACAGAUUGCAAUUUAAUUAGAUAUCAGCAUUCUGCAUAUCUUGAAGAGUAUGUAUGCCAAAUUUUAGAAGAGUUAACUGCUGGGCUAGUUGGUGAUCUUGCAUACUGAAAAUAUUUUGCGCCAAAAACCACAACACACACAAGAAAGAGCGCCCGUGGUGUUGUCGUCUUUCUUGUGUGUGUUGUGGUUUUUGGCGCAAAAUAUUUUCAGUAUGUAUGUAUGCCAAAUUUCGUUAGUAUAGGACAAUUAUAAGUGCAUAAGGUUAUUCUCAUGCUAUUGUCAGAAAAAGUUUUUGAAGUAUAUUCUAAUUUUUUUUCACAAUAGCAUGAGAAGUAUGCAAGAUUAGUAGGCAGGCCUGUCUGCCUGCCUACUAAUCUUGCAUACUUCUAGUAACUUUACAUGCUGUUUGAAUAGAUAUUGGCACUUUGCAGUCUACAAAGAGCCGAGUUAGCUGCAGCACACUGCUUUUUGUGAAAAUUUAAUACACAAGAAAGUGCCCGCAAAUAUGACUAUGUAUUUUGCUGUUGUGUAGGACAUAACUCAAGAAGCAGCUAAACAAAAACCAAUGGAAUAUAUCAAAUCUGCAUGAAGAACUCUACAAUUGGCUCUCUUUUCAAACCUCUAGUACAAAUAAUAAAAAUAUUUCGAGUAAUAUUCAAUCAGCAAAAUGUUCCCCUUGCUACAGUGACCUACAACAUAGCGACGAAAGUUUAAGGGAAGUCCUCUUGUGAAAGCGACUCUGGGCUGUCUUCCCAAGGGCUUCUGUUAAAAACUGUGCAUUUUCCUGCAUUUGUCAGGAGAGCAAUACAAGAAUGUUUGUGAAUGUGGAAUUGGUAUUGGCACACUAACAGAAAAAAAGACAGUUCUGUGAAAUGUAGACUUGAUUAUAUCUUUGUUCGACAUUUACAUUCCGACUGCAUAUAUUUAUUUCGUGUUUUGUACUGAGUGUUUCAGCGGUGACUGCCGCUAAUUAUUGAACAUAACUGCUUCAUGACAGUGGGACUAACAGAAAUUUAUAGCAGUGGCAGGCAUUAGAAUUACAGUAUUCAAUGACGUCUACUUUGUAAGAACUCAGACUAGCACCAGUUCUGAGAUACACAUACCCAAAAGGUAAUGAUCAAAUAGAUUUCUCUUUCACACAGAAUUGUCCCACAAGGCUUACAGAACUCAUUGUUUGUCAUCUUGUACAAGCAGAUUAUGCGCCAGAUGUAAUUUAUGCUCAGUAAUACAUAAAUCAGUCAUGCAAGGUGUCUCACUUUAGGUUGGAAGUUCGAACUUCUUUUAAUCUUGCUUGUUUUUAUUUUGUUUCCUUUGUGAGCAUGAGUGAGUUGGUGACCUUGGCACAUAUUGUCAAAACUGUUUCUUCAUCACUGGGAAUCGCAAAAUUUCAUUUACACAUGAAAUUCCCAGUUACUGAUAUGGUAGGCUUCGAGCUUAAUUCUCUUAUCUUUCAUAUGUUUAUCUACCAAGUAGUUUUAUCGUUCAUUGAAACAUAUCCAUGCAAUGCAGAGUGGGCACCCAAAUUAUAAAUAUCUGUUCUUGCUUUCUACCCUGCUCUGGUGUUUUCAAAACCUAGCAUUGGUGCAAUGGCCUGUCUGCACCUGCAGAAAAGUAGUGAAGUGGCUAAAGUUAAAGGUCAACAACAUAAUUAAGAUACAAAGCAAAAAUAUAAGUUCGCAAUUGUCCCCCAUAACCAUAGUUUUGCUUAGAAUUAAAAAAAAUGGACAUCCUGCUGUGGUGUGAGAGUUGCUUUGGGCACCAAGGAGACUACGUAGCACCUGUGCUAGUGUACAGAAAGCAAAAAAAAAUUACUCCAGAUUGGAGCGGCAGUGGAAAGUUAAGCACAGAUGUUUUAUUUCACGCACCAUUAAUGUGGCUUAUCAACUGCUCCUGUUGUAUGGGAACGCAUACAUUGGGAAGAUAAUCCUUUGUCCCAUUGUUACCUUAGCGGGACACCAGAGAAAGGUAGAAAUCGAGAACAGGUAUUCACACUUGGUUGCACACAGUGUAUUACCUGGAAGUGUUUCACUCUACAAAAGACUACUGUGAUAGAUAAUCAUAAUGACAAAGACAAAAGAAUUAAAAGAGGUAUGUGUCAGUCAUCCGUCCGUGACCUCCAGUGUUUAUAGAAACACUUCUUUCUGUAUAUGUGCCAAGCCGUAGGGAGGCUUUACGUAACUCAGUCAUGCUUGCUUAGUUAAAGAUUGGAAUAAGGGAAAUCACAAGAACAUUGUAUGAGUGAUUUCUAAAUGUGGCACCUAAUGUAACUUAUUCAUGUAUGGGCUGAGGAUAGAUUACAGCCAGUGCAUAAUGUGCUCUUACAGGAUGACAUGUGAUGAGUAAAAGAAGCCUUCCUCACAUCUUCCUCUUUGUUUCUUCUGGAUCUUUGUGCACUAUGUGUAUUGUUACAGCUGCGUGCAUGUAGCUGGGUAUAGUUUGUUUAUGUGUUCUGCUUCCUUCCUUGUCCUCAUAAUUCAUGCGCCAUCUUUGCCGUAACAAAAUACAGCUACCUGUGCUACUUAUUUUGUCAACGUGUUUGCAUUAUGGAAAGUUUUGUAUUAGCGGUUAUUUCUACCUGUGAAAUUGUCUGUGUCAGCUAUUAUACUUAGUCUUGCAAAAGUAUGUUUCUCAACAUAAAUAAGUGAUCAGUAUAAGUGUUGCUGUAUUUAUUUUUGUAAUUUUGUCAGUUAUGAAGUUUUUAUACACUGUUGCAUGUUGUAUGACAGAAUAAAAUCGAUGAAC